CACAGGGAGAAGGCGGCCAUCGACAAGCCAAGAAGAGAGCCCUGGAACAGAUCCCUCCCUCACAGCCUCAGAAGACACCAACACUGCUGACACUUUUAUCUUGGAUUUCUAGCCUCCAGAACUGCGAGACAAUACUUUUCUGUUAUAUAAGGCAUCAGGGCUGCAGCACUUUGUUACAGCGGCCUAGAAACCUAAUACAGAUGACACAUGUGAGAUGCAGCCGCAGGUCUCCAGGUCCUGACUGAUCCGAGAUGGAGACCAGAGACCACUCGCCACAAGGAUUCCAAAUGGCGAAAGUGCUCGAGGGAGAGAGAAACCUCAAAGGUGUUUGGAAGAUCUGGCCACAGGCAGCCUGCUUCGAACUACCAGAUGGAGUGUCCUCACAAAUUCAAGGCAGAGAACAGCACGCGAUGUGCCUUCACGAGAACGAUGGCCACGAGGGAAAGAGUUGAGGACUGUAAUUCCAAGG